CCUGGCUCAGGAUGAACGCUAGCUACAGGCUUAACACAUGCAAGUCGAGGGGCAGCAUGGUCUUAGCUUGCUAAGGCCGAUGGCGACCGGCGCACGGGUGAGUAACACGUAUCCAACCUGCCGUCUACUCUUGGACAGCCUUCUGAAAGGAAGAUUAAUACAAGAUGGCAUCAUGAGUCCGCAUGUUCACAUGAUUAAAGGUAUUCCGGUAGACGAUGGGGAUGCGUUCCAUUAGAUAGUAGGCGGGGUAACGGCCCACCUAGUCUUCGAUGGAUAGGGGUUCUGAGAGGAAGGUCCCCCACAUUGGAACUGAGACACGGUCCAAACUCCUACGGGAGGCAGCAGUGAGGAAUAUUGGUCAAUGGGCGAGAGCCUGAACCAGCCAAGUAGCGUGAAGGAUGACUGCCCUAUGGGUUGUAAACUUCUUUUAUAAAGGAAUAAAGUCGGGUAUGGAUACCCGUUUGCAUGUACUUUAUGAAUAAGGAUCGGCUAACUCCGUGCCAGCAGCCGCGGUAAUACGGAGGAUCCGAGCGUUAUCCGGAUUUAUUGGGUUUAAAGGGAGCGUAGAUGGAUGUUUAAGUCAGUUGUGAAAGUUUGCGGCUCAACCGUAAAUUGCAGUUGAUACUGGAUAUCUUGAGUGCAGUUGAGGCAGGCGGAAUUCGUGGUGUAGCGGUGAAAUGCUUAGAUAUCACGAAGAACUCCGAUUGCGAAGGCAGCCUGCUAAGCUGCAACUGACAUUGAGGCUCGAAAGUGUGGGUAUCAAACAGGAUUAGAUACCCUGGUAGUCCACACGGUAAACGAUGAAUACUCGCUGUUUGCGAUAUACAGCAAGCGGCCAAGCGAAAGCGUUAAGUAUUCCACCUGGGGAGUACGCCGGCAACGGUGAAACUCAAAGGAAUUGACGGGGGCCCGCACAAGCGGAGGAACAUGUGGUUUAAUUCGAUGAUACGCGAGGAACCUUACCCGGGCUUAAAUUGCAGAUGAAUUACGGUGAAAGCCGUAAGCCGCAAGGCAUCUGUGAAGGUGCUGCAUGGUUGUCGUCAGCUCGUGCCGUGAGGUGUCGGCUUAAGUGCCAUAACGAGCGCAACCCUUGUUGUCAGUUACUAACAGGUUCCGCUGAGGACUCUGACAAGACUGCCAUCGUAAGAUGUGAGGAAGGUGGGGAUGACGUCAAAUCAGCACGGCCCUUACGUCCGGGGCUACACACGUGUUACAAUGGGGGGUACAGAGGGCCGCUACCACGCGAGUGGAUGCCAAUCCCAAAAACCUCUCUCAGUUCGGACUGGAGUCUGCAACCCGACUCCACGAAGCUGGAUUCGCUAGUAAUCGCGCAUCAGCCACGGCGCGGUGAAUACGUUCCCGGGCCUUGUACACAC
rnacentral:rRNA from 1 species